ensembl:lncRNA
CUGACUUUAAAAAAAAAAAAAAAAAAAAUCUGAAAGUCCCUGCCACAAACUGUGUCUUAUGAAUUUUUUUAUUUUUUUAACCAUCUUCACCAUUUUACCUAAAUAAAUGCUUCUCUUGGUAUGUAUGUUCCUGGUUCCAGCUUUGCCACGUGGUGCUCAAAAGCGUGUGUAUUAUGGUCUGAUGACAUCAGAGGCAGAUGUUGGUGGUAUGGAAGUAGAGGUUGGACCUUCCCACUCCUAUUCCAUUGUGUUUUGUUGCUACAUGACAGAUGGCAGCAGAUGGGCAGUCUGACAAAAUGGCAUCUGACAUGGAAGUGCAUAUAGAGGAAAGGUGUGCCACUGAAUUCCUCCCCGCAGAAAAAAUGACACCCGGUGGCUUUUGUCUAUGCUUGCUGAAUGUUCAAGGAAAACAAACAGUGGAUGUGAACACACUGAGGAGUUGUAUUAACCAAAGCUCCUCCAGGAAUUCCUGCUGUCAGGCAGAUCUCCUGGUACAUGGUAGAAAAUUAAAGAAUCAGUGAAGAGCACCGUUCAAAAUCCAGUCAUCCUGGACUGGCUCUGAAACACAGAAAAGGACAGUUCUUUCUGAAAGAAGCCAUGGAAGAAUGUCAUUUCCUUCCUACAGUGUCCACCAUGCAUAUUAAAUACGAGGAGAGGAAGAUGAAGUGAAAGAGAAUUUGGCAUGAGGUGAAGGAAUAUUGAAGGACAGCAGAAUGCACAGUCAGGAGAAAGAAGUGGAAUAUGCUGCAGAAUGGAAUAAGACACAUUGUGGAAUAUACUGCAGAAACAAAUCUGCAUACAAAUUCAGAAUAGAAUACUGUGAAUAGGCAGUAAGAACUAAUAUGUUUAGUACUGCAAGGAGAUAAAAGGGCAAAUGAAAACUGAACCACAGCUAUCUGAUUUAGAGCACAGGAAAAUAAACUUGCACCCACCUACAUUUGUCUGGUUAUGCAUACCCUGUUAUGCAAACAACUAAAAUACUAAUUUCAGUUCAUUUUAAUUUCUUAC